ACUGUCGGAUAGUUAUCAUUAAAAAGAAAACGCUCUCGACAAAACCUAAAGAACCAAGAGCCGCCGUAUCUUAGUCUUCUGCUCCGACGGUCGGUGCUUCUCACCGCCGUCGGGAGCGGCCAUGUCUCUCCCUUCUAAAUAGGUCUCUGUCUUUAAUUUCGGUAACUUGUCACCUUUUUGGGUUUAGUUUCAGAUCGGGGUUUAUGGAUGGAUCUGAUGAUUCUGGUGUUACUCGGAUGGAGGUCUGAGGCGUGUUGGACGUGUCGGCUUAGAUCUGGUUCUCUUGAUGUUGCAGCUUUGGUGUCUCAACAGAGAGAGCUCUUCAGUUCUGUUCCGUCGUCCCUCCAUCAGCUGUGUGUAUCUCCAGGCAAGGAGUUGAAUCAUGCUUGUCUAUCAUGGUUUUUGAGCUGGUCUUAGUUGGUCUUUGAUUUAGCAACGGUGUAGCAGUAACGUGGUGGUGUGUAGUGAGCAGCAGUUGGUGGUUAUGGUCCUUGAGAAAUAGGUUGUUUUCAGAACACCUAUUUGUCUCUCAGGUUCAGCGGGGGCUGUCUCCUGCCUUGAAAAUAGUGUUUCUCCUGGUCUUCCUUUGGUCUUUGUCUUCCUCAUGGCUUUGUUUGCUUGAAGCAUGGAGGUGGAGACAUGGAGGCUUCCAGCUUAUGGUGCGGUUGAGUUAAGCGCUCUGGUGGGUGUUUGUUUCAUCCUGGUUGUUGUCUUGAGGUUGUCGAAGAGGUUGGUUGUUGUCAUCGUGAAUAUGAGGUUCAGAUGAGGUUUCUGCUCAAAUUGUCACAUGUAUUGUUCGUUGCAAGAAUUCCGGCUGGUUAUAGGCUAUUAAGUCUCUGUUCUUUAAUUUAUGAUAGAUUGUCUUUGGGUUUCUCACAAGGAGUAUAGGUAUUAAGUUUAAGUUCCAGAUGUUGGUAUGCAGCCCGGUUGUUUGGGUUCUUGUUCCCCUUCUUGGGUUUAGUCUCCGGGGAUGUUUCUAUGUUCCGCCGGCUUUGUAUUCGACUCUUGUAUCCUUCAAUGUUAUUAAUAAAACCAGAUGGAAAAAAAAAAAAACUGUCGGAUAGUUAUCAAUAUUUAUUCUUUAACAGAAUUAUGUCCGCUCGAGUGUUGACGAGUGAGGAAACAUCAAACACCUCCUAAGUGAAAGCAAAGCAAAGACCGUUACACGCAAAAUUUCUUUGGUGGGAAUCUAACUUAUACAUACAAAUCAUUUUAUUUUUCUCUUCUGUCUUUUACUUUUUUCCCUAUCAUAUAUUCAUUGAACUUUAGUGACACAUACUGAUAUAUCUCUAUAUAUAUAUUUCAAGAAACAAGUCCCGAAUUCAUACUUAGGACCUAAAAACAUACGAGAUAUUGUUUUCUUUUAAGAGAAUAAAGAUAUAUUCUUUGCUUUAUUGUACAAGUUAAUUAUCUUUUAGAAAAGCUUAUGGUGACAGACAGUUUCAUAUGCUUUAUACCACCUCUAAGAUCUUAAGGGCAAUCAUAAAGGUAAUCAUUAAUCAUAUUAUUAACCAUAUUCACACAAUCAUACAUUCAUAACCAAUUUUUCUUAGCAAAAAUAAAUUUAGUAGAAAACUAUAUAGAUAUUCUUUUAAAUCAACUUUACCCACUCUCUUUAACUUGUUUGCUUUCUUUUUCAUCCACGUCCUCUUUAUCUCUCUUUAAUACUUUUUCCACUCUUUUCUUCUUUCUGCUUUUUCUCCUUAUGUCUUUCCUCUGCCUGUGUUAUUAUUCUUCUUUCUUAAAUACUUAUUUACAUUUUCGUCCCGUUAACAUGGAUUGUUAAAUAUAAAUAAAAUUAUAAACGUUCAACAAAAGAAACAUAACAUUUAUUGUGCCUUUAGUAUUCGAUUCUUUCACUAGCUCUUCUCAGUAGAGAGGGAACAGAACAUCGUUUUACAACUUCCGAGAGGAUAUUGAGAUUUAAGCUUAAAACAUCACUUAUUCAACUGAAAUGUAUAUCGAGACUAGUCAUUAGCCAAAACAGAAGAUUAAUACUAAUUAACUACUAGCUAGCUACCACAAUAAAUUUAGUGAGAUCAACCCAAAGUAAAUUCAAGAUUAGGCUUGAAGGGGCUGGUUCCAGAGAUGUUUGAUGAGCUCAUGUCUUCCGAUGACAUCCUCUCAUAACUUGAAGACUUUCCAUCUAUUUCAUUCUGUUAAGUUAAAACCCGAAACAAAACCAAUUAGCUAAAAACAGAUAGUGUGAUUUAUAGUUUGCAUAGUAUGUAUGUUAAUAUGUAUAUGAUAAGUAUAUGAAUGUAAAGUGAUCAUGGACAUGAACUUAAACUUUUGACAAAGAGAGAAAGGUGAAGCUCAAGCAAAUAUAUACUUCCAUUAAUGUAGUAAUUUUUAUUCAUCCCAACGGUAUUAUUUAUAUAUUUUAUGUUAAGUCUUGAUAGAUAAAAUAAAACUAGAUCUGGUCCCGCCCGACCGGGCGGGUGUUUUUUUUCUGUUUACUUAAUGUAAUUAAAUUUUUUUACACCAUUAUAUAAUAUAUCAAAAUUUUAAUACAAAUAAUGACAAAAAUACAUCACAUAAUACAAAUAUUGCUGUAACAUAAUUUGAUCACACGGUGGCAACAAAAUUGAUCAUACUGUGAUAAGGUAAUAUAAUUUGGACCACAUUUCUAUUGAAAACCAUUAAAAUAUGAUGAAAUAAAAAAUUAUGAGUUAGUAUGAUAUAUGAAAUAGAUAAAUAAGGUAUAACUUUUACGGAAAUUAAUUUUUUCAAAGGCUAUGAAUAAAAUCAUCAUCCUCUAACAAAAUCAUUAUCCUCUUGAUUGAUAUCACGAUGUAUGUUUGUUGUUGUUUCUUCGUUUCCAUUAGAUAAAGAAUGUGAAAUAUUGGUAAUACCAUCCAAGACAGAACGUGGGGGCUUUCUUCUUGUUCAAAAAAGGAUGAUUUUGUUUUUCAUAAUCAUAUAUUUUUAACUUUUGAAAAUUUGAUAAAUUUAAUUGUUUGUACUUAUUAUGUUAUAGAUUCAUAUGUUUUUCAGGUUUGAUUUCGGUGUGUCUUGUUCAAUAUGAUUAGCCAUCAUUUUUAAACUAUGAGAUUGUGUUUUUCUUUUAUUGUAUUUUUAUUUAGUUUAUUUGGUAAAUUAAAUAGUAAAGUAUCGGAGGUUUAAGUAUAUUUGGGGUUUUAUUAAAUUAAAUUAUAAAUAUUUUAUUUUAAAGUUGAAUAUAAAGUUCAAAUAUUUUAUUGAAAUUUUUGAAAACAAAUACAUUAUUUAGACAAACCAAAAAUAAUAAUGAAACUAAGUUACAAAAAAACAUUCAAAAAUAGGAAGAGAUGAUUUUGUUCAAAGUCUACUUUAUAAAAUUCAAAAAAAAAAAUACAAAUAUUAUAGAACUAACAGUUUCAUCAGCUAAAACCAUUUGUAAUGUUUCAUCAGCGUAAGUGGUAAAAGAAUGUGUAGAAUGGGUUUGUACUCGGGUAGAAUAUAUAGUAGAGGGACAAUACCCUAGUUGAGAAUAAAUAUCUUUGCUUAUUUUGCAAGACAUAUUAGGCGAAAUAAAUGAAAAGAAUAUUUUGUUGAUUUUGUUUAUUGUUUUUGAAAUUAUGGUAAAAUCUUAAUGGUUAUGAUUUGAAAUAGGAAAUGAUAAGAUCUUGUGCUUGUUCCGCAAGUGUGUGGGUCAAUUUUUUUAACGCAAUACAAAACCCUAAAGUUGAGGAAAUAUCUUAACCACCCUCGCAAGGCAUCUCUUGUUUGCAUUAAUAUUUAGAAUACUUUGUUUAUUGUGUGUUAUUGUGAAACUAACAAAAUAGGAGAGAGUAAGAUUAUAUUGGUGAAAUUCGAAUAUUGUGUUUAUUGUUUAGUAGUUAUGGAUCAAAUUUUAUAUAUAUCUUCUUUGUUCCGAAAUUGAAGGGGAAAUCUUGUUUAGAAACAAAUUAGUAGAUUCCGCAAAUGUUUCUAUUUUUUUUUCCGAAAUCUAAGUAGAAGAUUGUUGGGGGAGGGAAAAGAUUUUCAAUUCAAAAAUAUUAGAUUUUAAUUAAUAAUAAUGAUUAUUAAUUAUUUGGACAUAUAGAAGUCAGUGGAAUAUUUCAAUAUAAUAAGGUGGUUAAAAAUAAGCUACAUACACCACCGUGAAAUAAAGUGAAUUGAAAUUGUUCAAACUCAUAUGAAAAUCAUUGUUAGUUUUUCUUAGUUUAAUUUCUUAUAAAGCUUAUAUAAUUUGAUGUUCGUACAGGUUACGUAAGCUAAGGAUGGGACUCAUAUGAUGACAAAAAAAAAAGGAUGGGACUCAUAUAAUAAGGAAUGUUACAGUGUUGAUAUUGCAGGAGAAUUAUUUAUGCUUGUUCCUUUAUUUAAUAAUAUGUAAUUGUUUGAGUUAUUAAUAAUAUGUUUCUUUCUUUUGUAGUUUGUUUGAGUUAUUUUAGGAAAACAAUUAAUAUGUGGAAAAGACAAUCAUUUUUAGUGUAAGAUUAAUUUAAUUCUCAAUGGCAUUUGACUGUAAAUAUUGUGUAACUUUUAGGGUUAUUUUUUAUGGGUACUUCUCUUUUAAUAAUAGAGAUGUGUAGAAACCAAUGCAACACUAGUGAAAGGGAUUUUAAUGUUACAUAGUGUUUCGGUUUAUUGUAUUAUGCAGACUGCAGUACAUAAUUAUGACAUUCGUACGAACAUCUAAGCUAAGCCUACUUAUUGUCCUAAGUACUAGUGUUUGACAUUGACACGAAUAUUUAAAUCUAUUCCAAUUGUUCAGUGGUAGCUGCCAUGGUUUUGCUUUUGCCCAUAUUAGCUUAUAAGACAAACUUGGAUAACCGCACCUCAAGGCUUAAGCUUUCACAAGUCACAAUAUGUGCGUGUCAAAGGUCAAAACAAAAACUCAUCGUGGUCAAUAUCAAUGGGGUUAGGUUUUUCUUUAUUUUUCCUAUAAACGUCUAAAUAACGAAAAUACCAUUUGCUUUUGAAAAUUCCUAAAGCUAGCUUUAAAGAAAGUCCUUUUUUGGCACCCCUUUUGAGGGUUCGGGUGACUUAGCAGUGAAAGAAAUCGACAAUGCAUAAAUAAAAUUUAUUUAGUACAAUAUAUACGUAUAUAAACACACACGAUUUCGUGUGUUCAUAGUUAUAUUUGCAGAAAGAGAUGAAUCGUACGUCGACCAAAAAAAAAAAAGA